UACAGAGGUCCCAAGCGUUGUUCGGAUUCACUGGGCGUAAAGGGUGCGUAGGUGGCGAGGUAAGUCGGAUGUGAAAGCUCGGAGCUCAACUCCGAAAUGGCAUUGGAAACUACCUUGCUCGAGGGUUGGAGGGGGGACUGGAAUUCUCGGUGUAGCAGUGAAAUACGUAGAUAUCGAGAGGAACACCAGUGGCGAAGGCGAGUCCCUGGACAACUCCUGACACUGAGGCACGAAAGCUAGGGGAGCAAACAGG
rnacentral:rRNA from 1 species